AGUGCAGGCGAGGGAGGAAAAGCAGUAUCAUGUCAACGCGGAGGGACAAGUGAGCUGUUUGUGGCUGCACAGCGGAUCACACUGUUUUACACAAACUUCCAGCCUCAGGGGACGUGCGUGUCCAGUGGGUACAUUUUAUGUAUGAAGCUGAUGUGCCGGAUAAAGUCAGCAAACGUGUGUUUGUGUGUUCGCACCACUUCGCGUCGGACUGCUUUGUGAACCUUGGUCAGUACAAUUCUGGACUGAGCAGAAGAUUGAAGCUGAAAAAGGGGAUCAGUACCAACUCUCCGUGGAGAGAACGCAGUGGAGCAAAGUUCUUCUGUUCCUGUUCAUAAGACUCCCACUUACAUUGUGUAUGAGGACUGCCUACUGGAGCUGUUUCAGGUGUGCCCUGUGUGUAAGCGGAACUGAGACGUGCGGUCAAAAAGGCUAGGCACGUUCCUCUCUGUGGAACAGCAGUGUCUGCAUUGUGAGUUCUCCAGAAAGUGGAACAGCCAGCCACUUGUUGGUAGCACUCCUGCUGGGAACCUGCAGCUGUCCACUGCAGUGUAUACCACUGGUGCGUCUUUCUUCAAGAUUGAGAAGGUUUUCCGGGCAAUGCAGUUGAAGAUGUUUAAAUAUGACUCAUUUAGACGGCAUGCUCGGAUGUACAUAGAGCCAGCGAUUGUGCACAAGUGGAAGACGACACAGACUGCUAUUUUGCAGCAGCUCAGUGAGCAGCAGAAUGUCGUCCUGGGCUGUGACUUGAGGGCAGACUCUCCCGUAAUGAGGUCGGGGGAAGCUACCACAUGGAGAAAGAGGGCCUGAAGAGGAGCCUGGCUCUGUUGGAGGAACGGGGUGUUACUAUGGAGAGUAUUGUGAGAGACCCUCAAAUCCAGAAGUUCCUGAGGGAGUCCAGUAUAACGCAUUACUACGAUGUGUUUCACAUGGAAAAAGGUAUGAUUCCGUGACGUUUCUUUCCAAGUGUAAAUCAUUUGCUUGUCCACACUUGCAUGAUAACUGAUGUGCUCCUGCCUAUUUGUAAUGCAAUUCUGACUGAAUGUGCUAUAAUUUCUGAUGUUUGUGCUAAGUAAAUAGGUUUACUAUGUAAUUUAACUACAGUACUUGCACAUCAAAGACUAACACUGUUUGUGUUAUUAGGACUGUCCAAGAAACUGUUGAAGAUCUCACAGAACAAGGGCUGUGAGAAACUGACGAAAUGGCUUCGCAGUAUAAAAAACCAUAUGUACUGGACGACUGCAUCUUCCACAUCGGUGCCAGAGAGAACGUGGUCGUCCAUUUUG